UACGAAGGGGGCUAGCGUUGCUCGGAAUCACUGGGCGUAAAGGGUGCGUAGGCGGCGAGGAAAGUCAGAUGUGAAAUCCGAGGGCUCAACCCUCGAAUAGCAUCCGAUACUUCCCUGCUCGAGAUUUGUAGAGGAGUCUGGAACUCUCGGUGUAGCAGUGAAAUGCGUGGAUAUCGAGAAGAGCGCUCGUAGCGAAGGCGAGGCUCUGGGCAAAUUCUGACGCUGAGGCACGAAGGCUAGGGGAGCAAACGGG
rnacentral:rRNA from 1 species